rnacentral:ncRNA from 12 species
GCUUCGAGGAGCGCUGCGACUUGCGUGGUUUGCAAGCCAGGCUCGGAGCAUUCGACAGGAACGGCGCUCACCCACU